rnacentral:sRNA from 1 species
ACUGCUGGUUUUGGGUGUGUGUGUUUGUGAUUUAAAAUUACAUUCAGUCAACUCUAUAGCCCUAUGGGCUUUUUGAAUAACCAAGUGCUCAACAGUUCUGUAAUCUUUCAGGUUGCUGUGAUCAGUCCCCAAGGAGUCUACACUCUCAAAGAGAUUGGGAAAGGCCUGUGAGACAAUGGGAUUCUUUUUUCUAGAGGUGUAACUCUGCCUGUGUUUGCAUGCCACCUCCAGAACCACUAAAAUAUAAUUUCUCAGUGGGUGAUUGAGUAAGACUGGCAGCAAUUGCAAAAGCAGAUUCAUGCCAUGUGUCACUCUUCACAGUCAGGAACUUAUUUACCUCUUGGAACUUUCCAAAGGAACGAUGAUGGUGGCGGUAAUGUCACAUUAGUAUGGAGCCCUUAAAUUCAGCAGUGUUCAACCUGAGGGAAGACAGAGGCCAUGCUGGAUAAGGAGCUGGCUGCCUCUGUGAACAUCCUACUCAAGGCAUCUUCACUGCUGUACAUCCUUUUGAAAUCCCAGAGAUCUUCAGUCUCCCUGUGGAUUAAGGAGAUGUGCAGUAUUUAAAGUGGCUUCAGGAAGGCAUGGAAGAGGACUGAGUGGGGAAAGCUUUUUGUGCAUGCUGCUGGCUACCUCCAGCAGCUGCCUCCAGCCUCCAUCAGCUGCACUCUGGGGAAGAGGAGGCUGCCUUCUACCUCCCAGCAUCUCUGGAUUUCAUGUUCCUGUCAGCACAGAGGAGCUAAAUGGCCU